rnacentral:rRNA from 1 species
UACGUAGGGCGCAAGCGUUAUCCGGAAUUAUUGGGCGUAAAGAGCUCGUAGGCGGUUUGUCGCGUCUGCCGUGAAAGUCCGAGGCUCAACUUCGGAUCUGCGGUGGGUACGGGCAGACUAGAGUGCGGUAGGGGAGACUGGAAUUCCUGGUGUAGCGGUGAAAUGCGCAGAUAUCAGGAGGAACACCGAUGGCGAAGGCAGGUCUCUGGGCAUUAACUGACGCUGAGGAGCGAAAGCAUGGGGAGCGAACAGG